AUGCGGCCACGACCAGUAGGGGCUGCAGGCUCCAUCAGGGAGGCCGACGGGGCUCAUGGGGGCCCUGCACCUGCUGAGAUGGAGCCCAGCGUGGGCCGCGGCUGCUCAGGCCCACGCCAAGGGACCGAGCCUCGGCGGGGGUGGUGCAGGUGCCCAGGGAGCCGCGCCGGGUGCUCAGGACCCAGGACCAUGGCGGGGGUACCUGGUGACCGCGGCAGCGCAGCUCGGCCGCACCCGGAGCCCGCGGCGCCCUGCGGGGCCCAGCAGCACCUGUGCCUCGGCCUCCCUGCGGCUCUCGGCCCCAACAGCAGGGGCAGGCACCUGCUCCGGGCGGCACCGGCCAGCGCAGCCCCCGCGGGCUCCGCCAGGCAGCGGGCUCGGCCCUGCCUGACCCCGGACACGGCCACGACGCACGGGCCCGGGACCCACCCAGGGACCCGGCCGAGCCCAGGAGCCCGCAGGGCCGCAGCGGCUCCGUCCCCAGGGCCCCGCCAGGGCCAACGUCCGCCGCCGUCCGUUGCUGCUUAUGGACGCCCGUUGCCGCCAGGCCCGGCUCGCGCCGGCUCGCGGGCGCCCCACGUGGUCGCCGGCGCGCAGCGGGAGGGGCCGGGGCCGGCCUGCAGCUCCUCUGCGGGGCGGCGCGCACCGCCGGCUCCGGCCGCUCUGCUCUCUUGGGAGCUCGAGGCCGGGGCCCUGGCUGCGGGAUCCUGGCCGCUGUCGCCCGGCCCGCCGCAGGCCGCUGCCGCUCUGCGGGCUCCUCCGCUCCCGGCCCUUUCGGGCGCACGGAAAAGCGGGGGCGCUCUAGGGGCACCUGCCAGACGUCGCACCCCGACUCAGGCCCACAGGUGCGAGGGUCAGGGUUGCACACACAGCGCUGUCACCUCCUCCGGGGCCCGGCCGGCGCCCCAGGACCACGGCGGAUGGAGAGGAAGAGCGAAGCGGGAGAGGACUCGCGGCUCAGCCACGGGCGAGCAGCAGCGUGGACCUGGGGGGCACCAGCCUGGACCUGGAAGCCGAGGGCGACCCGCUGCCUCCCGGGGAGGCGCCGCCCCGACCUCCGACGACCUGGACUCCAUUGUUCAUCUUGUCUCUGACUCGGCUAUGCUGGAAGACUUGACAUGGUAAGAUGUGAUGAGCCUGGUCAGAUUCUGGGACAAUUUUCUGUGUCCCACAGGGAUGUGCUUGUGACCUCCCUUCAUGUUGUCUGGAGACUCUGACAACUCUGUGAUCUGAGUGACAAGGACCACAGGCCAGCAAGAAAUGCUGUUCAGAGAAGGAAGGACAGGGUCCUUCUUAACCCCUUCCUUCUGUCCUCAGGGGAGGACAGACCCUGUAUUGUGUGUGUGUUAGGACGGAACAAUUUAUGAUUUCAUUUAUUGUGAUAGCCAGCAGUGGGGACCAGAGAGAUCGUCUAUCCACUGAUUCACUUCUUUUUUUUUUUUUUUUUUUUUUUUUUUACAGGCAGAGUGGACAGUGAGAGAGAGAGAGACAGAGAGAAAGGUCUUCCUUUGCUGUUGGUUCACCCUCCCAAUGGCCGCCGCGGCCAGCGCGCCGCGGCCAGUGCACCGCACUGAUCCGAUGGCAGGAGCCAGGUGCUUCUCCUGGUCUCUCAUGGGGUGCAGGGCCCAAGUACUUGGGCCAUCCUCCACUGCACUCCCUGGCCACAGCAGAGAGCUGGCCUGGAAGAGGGGCAACCGGGACAGAAUCCGGUGCCCCGACCGGGACUAGAACCGGUAUGCCGGCGCCGCAAGGCAGAAGAUUAGCCUAGUGAGCCGCGGCGCUGGUCGUGAUUCACUUUCAAAAUGGCCACGAUGGCCAGGCCUGAGCCAGGCUGGAGCCUUGAGCUCCAUCUGGGUCCUCCACAAAGGUAACAGGAACCCAGGUCCUCA
ensembl:lncRNA